CAAAGCUUUGAUUUUUUUGAUGAGAAGGAAAAAGAUGGGACGGCUCCCAAGAAUUGUCCAAAUUCUUGUCAAUCUGGUUCAAGUCUUGGGAGCCACAAUGGACAUUGACAUCAUCCUCCUGGCUGCCUUGCUUCUGAACCUUAAGCCACUUCACUUUGAUGUCGAGGUAUUCUCGACUUGAUCUUGAAGUUGAGAAGACACUUUACUGUGACCUUCAAAUUGAAAGAACAAACAAUUAAAAAAUUGAACUACUCUGAAAUAAAUAACAUAAUAGCUAAAAUAUUAUCAAAAGGCACAGUUUGGAAUAAGGUUUAAUGAGUUUAAAGUACGUUCAAUAAAAUCAAUCAUCUUCAGCUAGACGCCCUUAAUUAAGCCCUUAUAAAAUAGACACAUAACAGAUGCUAUUAUUCCUUAACACACAAGUUUAACUCUUGGCUUGUAUUGAACGCGCUUUACAACUGUACUCACAUCAACCAUGAAAGUUCAAAGGAAUAUGGUCUUCAAAGAGCAAAAUAAAGCUUUGAAAUGACUUCAAAA